AUAUAGUUACACUGCACGGAGUGGAGAGGAGCAGAAUCUGAUACGCGUCAAAAACAAUAAUCUGAGGAGAAACAGAUGCCAAGCUUCAUGUUUUGUUUCUUUUUUAAAUACAGAACACACAUUUGAAUAUGUUAUGUUCGAGUAAAUGAAGAAAUGAUCAUGAUUUGUUAUAUUUGAAAUUUGGAAGUUCAUUUGUAUUCUUGUACCUUUAAAAAGUGUAUGUAUGAUCUGUAUUCAUUCCAUAUUCACAAAAUUCACGGAUUGCAAAAAAAGAAGAAGAAGAAAAUAAUUAAAAACAAUUGGUAAUAAUUCGUAAUUAAUUUUUUUCGUCACUUGCAUUCUUGUAUUUGUAAAGAGUAUUUUAGAUUUCUAAGUAUUCACAUGAUCUUUAACAAUUGUUUUAUUAUAUUUUUUUUAAUUAAAAUAACUAAAUCAUU
rnacentral:misc_RNA from 1 species